rnacentral:tRNA from 1 species
AGGUCUAUCGCCAAGCGGUAAGGCAGCGGCUUUUGAUGCCGCCAUUCCCUGGUUCGAAU